rnacentral:sRNA from 1 species
UUUUUUUUAUAUACUUCUUCGUCGGUUUGAUGUGUCCGCGGUCGAGUGAAGGCUGUGGAGUCGAGUGAUGUGGUAUUGAAUGAGAGGUGGUGAUUGAGCUGGAGAGAUGAAAGCAGCGGCGGUAAAGUGAUGAAGCUCGAAUGGAGGAGAAAACGAUUUGAUUGGUUGAUCGUGAAGGGGGUCGAGUGGUUUUGAGCGAGAACUGUUGAAGGCAAAUUGAUGGUAGGGAUCGAGUGUUUGGUGAGCUUGAGAGGCGGAGGGGUUCUUGCGACGAAGUCGAGUGAAACGACUACGAAUGAAGAGGUGAGAGACGAUUCUUUGAGUGAGUGAAUGGUGAGAAGCGGCGUGGUAUGAAGCGGUCGAGUGAAGUUUGAGAGGAUGACAGUUGUAAUGAGAGCUCGAGUGAUUUUGGUGGUGGAGAUGCGAUGAGAGUUGUGGCUGUGAAAGGCGAGAGAGGAGCGGUCGAGUGCGUGAGGAAGAGAGAUGGUGAGGUCGAGUUUAUGAAAGGAUAAGGCGAUGGGAUCGAGUGUAUAGAUAAGGAGAGGUCGAGUGGUGCUUUGGAUGGAUGAUGAUGGGGUUGAAGACGAGUGAUGGAGAGAAGGGAGGGUUGAUUUAAGAAGGAUGCGGUCGAGUUUAUUUGGUUGUGGAGGAGAAAACGAGGUCGAGUGAUGGGGGAGAAGUCGAGUGAAGAUGGGGUUGCGUGAAGAUCGAGUUGGUGUGAAGAGAUUCCAUGUCUCUUGGUCUGCUGCAUGGAGGACAUGGGCGUCAGUGGUGGGUUCCAUUGUGUCUUCUUGUCUUUCUUUUGUGCUCUCUGCUUAUUGUAAAAGCCCCAGGAAAUUCCGCAAUCUUCUGUAAACUUGAUAAAGUCUCUGUAAGACUCUGCAGCUUCUGUUGGUCGAGUAAAAUGAUGAUUUAAUUUUUUUUCAUGUUU